rfam:Ovis aries breed Texel chromosome 2, whole genome shotgun sequence.
UCCCUGGUGGCUUAGACGGUAAAGCAUUUGCCUGUAGUGUGGGAGACCCAGGUUCGAUCCCUGGGUUGGGAA